AACGAACGCUGGCGGCGUGGAUAAGACAUGCAAGUCGAACGAUGGCUGCAGGGUAGCAAUAUUUUGCAGUCAGAGUGGCGUAAGGGUGCGUAACACGUGGGUAAUCUGCCGUGAAGUUGGGGAUAACCCCGAGAAAUCGGGACUAAUACCGAAUGUGGUUGCCGGGAGGCAUCUCUUGGUGACCAAAGCUGGGGACCGCAAGGCCUGGCGCUUCACGAUGAGCCCGCGGCCUAUCAGCUAGUUGGCGGGGUAACGGCCCACCAAGGCUAAGACGGGUAGCUGGUCUGAGAGGACGACCAGCCACACUGGAACUGAGACACGGUCCAGACACCUACGGGUGGCAG
rnacentral:rRNA from 1 species